GCAUGGCUAAUACCUGUCUAUCAAGCCGAUGGACCACUACCUUGCUUCUCUGACUUUUCCGGUUUUUUGGUGACUAGCUGCCGUAUAACCUUCCUUUGAAACUGUAAUGGCUUCCCCCGAUUUAAACCUUGACCGGAUAAUCCUUUGAACCUCGUGAGUCAGGAAUGUAAGACAGUCUUGCUAUCGCUUACUAAUGCAUUCGCGCUUGUUUCGCUCACUCUGCACGUAACCGCCUUACCCGGCGCGCUUGCUGCGCCGAUCUAGGGACGCGUGCUCUUCCCAUUCGGACUGACACAUGGUGCAGACUCCUAUCGGAGGCAGCCUUUUCGCAUACUUCCCCAAUUGGCGAAAGGCUGAUGUACUGCCACCCCAUUAAUUAUGAUAGCCUUCGGAUCUUCCCACUCUCUUAUUUGGAAAAAAACUAUGUGUAAGUAACUGUGCACAUCUUGACGGUACCUAAUCAGAAAGCCACGGCUAACUACGUGCCAGCAGCCGCGGUAAUACGUAGGUGGCAAGCGUUAUCCGGAAUUAUUGGGCGUAAAGCGCGCGUAGGCGGUUUUUUAAGUCUGAUGUGAAAGCCCACGGCUCAACCGUGGAGGGUCAUUGGAAACUGGAAAACUUGAGUGCAGAAGAGGAAAGUGGAAUUCCAUGUGUAGCGGUGAAAUGCGCAGAGAUAUGGAGGAACACCAGUGGCGAAGGCGACUUUCUGGUCUGUAACUGACGCUGAUGUGCGAAAGCGUGGGGAUCAAACAGGAUUAGAUACCCUGGUAGUCCACGCCGUAAACGAUGAGUGCUAAGUGUUAGGGGGUUUCCGCCCCUUAGUGCUGCAGCUAACGCAUUAAGCACUCCGCCUGGGGAGUACGACCGCAAGGUUGAAACUCAAAGGAAUUGACGGGGACCCGCACAAGCGGUGGAGCAUGUGGUUUAAUUCGAAGCAACGCGAAGAACCUUACCAAAUCUUGACAUCCUUUGACAACUCUAGAGAUAGAGCCUUCCUCUUCGGGGGACAAAGUGACAGGUGGUGCAUGGUUGUCGUCAGCUCGUGUCGUGAGAUGUUGGGUUAAGUCCCGCAACGAGCGCAACCCUUAAGCUUAGUUGCCAUCAUUAAGUUGGGCACUCUAAGUUGACUGCCGGUGACAAACCGGAGGAAGGUGGGGAUGACGUCAAAUCAUCAUGCCCCUUAUGAUUUGGGCUACACACGUGCUACAAUGGACAAUACAAAGGGCAGCGAAACCGCGAGGUCAAGCAAAUCCCAUAAAGUUGUUCUCAGUUCGGAUUGUAGUCCGCAACUCGACUACAUGAAGCUGGAAUCGCUAGUAAUCGUAGAUCAGCAUGCUACGGUGAAUACGUUCCCGGGUCU
rnacentral:rRNA from 1 species